AUAAAUGCGGUGAGGAAGAGGAGUACCUGACAGCUAUCGCAAGAGAGAACAGCUCACAGGCUGCAAGGCUGUUUCGUGAAUGGUCAGGGAAGGUAGCUUCUUAGCAGCACAUCUGAACAAUCAUAAUCUGACGGAUUGUGGCUUAAGUAGGAUGUGACGGGGUGACUGACGUUAUUACAGUCGAUAAGGCCGGAAGGUGAAGUAAGGUGGUACCGCGUUAAUACGCCCUUGCA
rnacentral:ncRNA from 1 species